GAAAAAUGUGUCAAGGCCUCUCAAAAAAAUUGGAUGUCGCCAAGCUCUCUAAUCUUUUCCCCUUACUCUUUAGUCCCAAAAGAGGCUACAAAAUGUACCCCAGCCCCAAAAACUCACAUUUAUACAUGUACUGAGGAUGAUGAUGUGGGCAUCAUCACUGAUCAAGUUGAGAAUGAGUAUGAAUUGCUCACUAGAGUAACUGAUACAUCCUCUGUGAAAGCAAGAAGAGGGAAAGAUGUAUAAGGGAUUCCAUGGGAUAGAUUGCAUAUUACGAGGGAAAACUAUAGGAGAGCAUGGUUGGAGCAGUACAAUAACUAUGACAAUGUUCAUUCAUCUGGCGACCAAGUAGAUGAGGAUAAAAAUUUGGCACAACAUCAGAUAUCAAUGUUGAUGUUUGUUGCAUUUGCUUGUGGCUGUGGAAUGUUUCUAUUUACAAAGUUACUGGGUGUACGAGUACUAACUGGUUAUUUCAUAUAACUUUGCACUUUCCUCCUAGUCUGUUAACUUUUCAUACUGAAUGUUAACUUUCGCUGAUUUAUGUUAACUUUCAUCCAAACCUGUUAACUUUUCAUACUGAAUGUUAACUUUCAUUGUUUUAUGUUAACUUUCAUCCAAACCUGUUAACUUUUCAUACCGAAUGUUAAUUUUCACUGCUUUAUGUUAACUUUUAUAUAAACCUGUUAACUUUUCAUAUUGAAUGUUAACUUUCGUUGUUUUAUGUUAACUUUCAUCCAAACCUAUUAACUUUCACUGUUUUAUUUUCGUAGAAGCAUUUAAAAAAAAGUUAUGACUAAGUCUUUGAUUUUAUCCCAGAUUAUGAGAAGCGAAGUGUGUCAAUAGAUGAAAUCGAGAUAUUGUCACUAAUUACUACUAAAAGGAAGGAAAGAAAUAGAACUAGAUGUAUAAACAACAGAAUAAUUUACAAACAUCCACUGAAAUGUUCUCCAUGCAAAGUUGAAGGUCGCAGUCAAGCUAAUAUUCACCCUCCACAUGGGUUCCUACACUCUCAUCAUCAUCACCAGCGCCGAGCUGACCCAUGAGGCCCUCAUUACCAAGGGGAAAGUGAGUGUGUAGUGAGUGUGUACAAACUUCAUGGGGAUGAUUGUCGAUAUAUUGUUUAUAUGUCGAAAAUCGUUGGUGUAGUAUAUUAAAAGCUUUUUUGCUCAUUCAUUGGUAUGUUUCUGAUUAGCAUUGUGAAGCUGAAUGAUUGUUGGUUUCGAAUAUAACUAAGACUUGAUACAAUGAAACUGAUGUUGACAACAUUUAGUGUGGGUUUUUUUAUACUAGGUAUGAUUUGUUGUUCGGCCC